AUUGAGCGCUGGCGGCAGGCCUAACACAUGCAAGUCGAACGGUAACAGGGAUCAGCUUGCUGAUUCGCUGACGAGUGGCGGACGGGUGAGUAAUGUCUGAGAAACUGCCUGAUGGAGGGGGAUAACUACUGGAAACGGUAGCUAAUACCGCAUAACGUCGCAAGACCAAAGAGGGGGACCUUCGGGCCUCUUGCCAUCGGAUGUGCCCAGAUGGGAUUAGCUAGUAGGUGGGGUAACGGCUCACCUAGGCGACGAUCCCUAGCUGGUCUGAGAGGAUGACCAGCCACACUGGAACUGAGACACGGUCCAGACUCCUACGGGAGGCAGCAGUGGGGAAUAUUGCACAAUGGGCGCAAGCCUGAUGCAGCCAUGCCGCGUGUAUGAAGAAGGCCUUCGGGUUGUAAAGUACUUUCAGCGGGGAGGAAGGGAGUAAAGUUAAUACCUUUGCUCAUUGACGUUACCCGCAGAAGAAGCACCGGCUAACUCCGUG
rnacentral:rRNA from 1 species